AUAUCAAUAAGCGGAGGAAAAGAAACUAACAAGGAUUCCCCUAGUAACUGCGAGUGAAGCGGGAAAAGCUCAAAUUUAAAAUCUGGCAGUCUUUGGCUGUCCGAGUUGUAAUCUAGAGAAGUGUUAUCCGCGUUGGACCGUGUACAAGUCUCCUGGAAUGGAGCGUCAUAGAGGGUGAGAAUCCCGUCUUUGACACGGACUGCCAAGGCUUUGUGAUGCGCUCUCAAAGAGUCGAGUUGUUUGGGAAUGCAGCUCAAAAUGGGUGGUAAAUUCCAUCUAAAGCUAAAUAUUGGCGAGAGACCGAUAGCGAACAAGUACCGUGAGGGAAAGAUGAAAAGAACUUUGGAAAGAGAGUUAAACAGUACGUGAAAUUGCUGAAAGGGAAACGCUUGAAGUCAGUCGCGUUGGUCAGGAAUCAACCUUGCUUUUGCUUGGUGUACUUUCUGGUUGACGGGUCAGCAUCAAUUUUGAUCAUUGGAAAAAGGUCAAGGGAAUGUGGCAUCUUCGGAUGUGUUAUAGCCCUUGGUUGCAUACAAUGGUUGGGAUUGAGGAACUCAGCACGCCGCAAGGCCGGGUUUUUAACCACGUACGUGCUUAGGAUGCUGGCAUAAUGGCUUUAAUCGACCCGUCUUGAAACACGGACCAAGGAGUCUAACAUGCCUGCGAGUGUUUGGGUGGAAAACUCGAGCGCGUAAUGAAAGUGAAAGUUGAGAUCCCUGUCGUGGGGAGCAUCGACGCCCGGACCAGACCUUUUGUGACGGUUCCGCGGUAGAGCAUGUAUGUUGGGACCCGAAAGAUGGUGAACUAUGCCUGAAUAGGGUGAAGCCAGAGGAAACUCUGGUGGAGGCUCGUAGCGAUUCUGACGUGCAAAUCGAUCGUCAAAUUUGGGUAUAGGGGCGAAAGACUAAUCGAACCAUCUAGUAGCUG
rnacentral:rRNA from 2 species